GACGAACGCUGGCGGCGUGCUUAACACAUGCAAGUCGAGCGGUAAGGCCCUUUCGGGGGUACGACGAGCGGCGAACGGGUGAGUAACACGUGGGUGACCUGCCCUUAGCUCUGGGAUAAGCCUGGGAAACUGGGUCUAAUACCGGAUAUGACUCCAUAACGCAUGUUGUGGGGUGGAAAGCCUUGUGCGGCUAGGGAUGGGCCCGCGGCCUAUCAGCUUGUUGGUGGGGUGAUGGCCACCAAGGCGACGACGGGUAGCCGGCCUGAGAGGGCGACCGGCCACACUGGGACUGAGACACGGCCCAGACUCCUACGGGAGGCAGCAGGUGGGGAAUCUUGCGCAAUGGGCGAAAGCCUGACGCAGCGACGCCGCGU
rnacentral:rRNA from 1 species